rnacentral:rRNA from 1 species
UACGUAGGCAGCAAGCGUUGUUCGGAGUUACUGGGCGUAAAGGGUGCGUAGGCGGCUUUUUAAGUUUGGUGUGAAAUCUCCCGGCUCAACUGGGAGGGUGCGCCGAAUACUGAGAGGCUAGAGUGUGGGAGAGGAAAGUGGAAUUCCUGGUGUAGCGGUGAAAUGCGUAGAUAUCAGGAGGAACACCGGUGGUGUAAACGGCUUUCUGGACCAACACUGACACUGAGGCGCGAAAGCGUGGGGAGCAAACAGG